rnacentral:rRNA from 1 species
UACGUAGGUGGCAAGCGUUGUUCGGAAUUAUUGGGCGUAAAGGGCGCGUAGGCGGCCAGCACAAGUCAGUUGUGAAAUCUCCGAGCUUAACUCGGAAAGGUCAACUGAUACUGUGCGGCUAGAGUGCGGAAGGGGCAACUGGAAUUCUUGGUGUAGCGGUGAAAUGCGUAGAUAUCAAGAGGAACACCUGCGGCGAAGGCGGGUUGCUGGGCCGACACUGACGCUGAGGCGCGAAAGCCAGGGGAGCGAACGGG